rnacentral:lncRNA from 1 species
UAGGAAUGAAGCCAUUAGCAAAGGAAAGAGAAAGACCUGAAUAACAAAUUUAGCUGAUUCUGAGGCAGAUUCUACUUCCUGUGUGCAGAAAAUUUACGAAGAAGCCAUGAAUCUCUGGAAACAUUCUGGAAACCUAGGAUUGAAGUAUAAAAUCUAUGGAGUUUCCUUCUGUCGCUGGCUGGAGUGCAAUGGCAUGAUCUUGGCUCACCACAACCUCCAGCUCCCGGAUUCAAGAGAUUCUCCUGCCUCAGCCUCCCAAGUAGCUGGGACUACAGAAUCAUGUUGUGAAGGUCAAGAACCGUGAAGAUGCUGAAAUUUUUACCCUACUUACGAAACCAACAUGUUAGUUCCGUGGAUGGAGUUCCACGAUGCUGGAAGAAGACAUGAACUCCUGGGUCAGAGAUAAAGGACUUUACUUAAGGAAGAGCAAGCAGCAAAGCAAGUUCCUUCCCUUUGAGAUUGCCAACAUUCUCAACAAGUAUCCCUGUGUGCUUUUGAUGAAGAGGAAGGAACAGUAUGGAAGAUUUCACAGGAUAUUCUGUGGUCAGGCCUGCAAGUACAUGCGUCACUUCUGCCCACAUUCAUAAGGACAGAGCUAAGUCUCAUAAAUACAAGGAAGGUGAAAAUGUGAUUUAACUGUAUGCCUAGCACAGAAAGGAGAAUCAGAAUCCCUGCCACAUUUUCUAAUGUAACUACAUUAUGGUCAUAACAUGUGUUCUGUAUGAUAUCAGUUCUUUGAAAAAUUUAAGACACAGCCCAUUUUUGCAAGUGUUUUUUUGUGUGUGUUGGAAAAUAAUGUAUAUUUUCCAAUUACUAAAUGCAAGUGUCUGUAUAUGUAUAUCAACUAAAUCAAAGUUGUUGAUUUUAUUGUUCAAAUUAUUUGCAUCCUAUUGGUUUUCCUUACCUACUUUAUGCAUUAAUAGCUAAGAGAUAUGUAUUAAAAAUUUCCCACAGUGUUGGUGGAUUUGUCAAUUUCUCCAUAGGUUUUAAAAUUUAUAUGCAAUUUAUUUUGAGGCUAUGAUAUUAAACAAUGUAAAUUUGCAAAUGUGAUCUCUUUUUAUUAUAUUCUUUAUUUUUAUAGAGUUCUCUUAUUAGUAUUUUUUUCCUUUAAAGAAUAUUUUGACUGAUAUUAAUUAUGGUCAUAUUACUUUUUUUUUUUGGUUAAAUUUGCCGGGUUCUCCUUCUGAAACUUUGAUUAGAUAUUUUGGACUUUCUCACUCUAUUCUUCUUGUGUCUUCAACUCUUUUAAAAUAUUUUGCAUCUUUUUAUCUCUAUUGCUUUAUUCUUUUUCUUCUUUUGCAGAAGAACAUUCCAUUUUAUUAAUUCUCUACUCCAUUGUAUCCAAGUUAUUUAACCUUUACAUUGAAUUUUUACUUUUAAUUAUUAUACUUUUUACUUCUAGGAGAACUUUGCCCUCAAAUUCUGCCUGAUUUCUUGCUGAUUAGUCAUAUUUUUACCUCUUUCUUGUUUAAAAAAUUUUUUUCCUUAAACACAUAAUUUUUCUAAAAAAUUUAUAAUAUAUUCCCUAUAUUUGUACAUUUCCAAUAUUCAAGUUUCUGUUGUUUAUUAUUUCUGUGACACUUGCAUGCAAUGGCUUAGUUCAAAUGUAUUUUGUGAUUUUUUAAAAUUGAUUCUGAAGUUGUAUUCGCAAUAAAACACAAUCCUUUGCACUUUUCUAAUAAAUACCAAGGUUGUGGA